rnacentral:misc_RNA from 1 species
GAUGAAGAACGAAGCGAAAUGCGAUAAGUAAUGUGAAUUGCAGAAUUCAGUGAAUCAUCGAAUCUUUGAACGCACCUUGCGCCCUUUGGCCAUUCCGAAGGGCAUGCCUGUUUGAGUAUCAUGAACACCUCAACUCUUUAUGGUUUUCCAUGAUGAGCUUGGACUCUGGGGGUUUUGCUGGCUCACAGUCGGCUCCUCUAAAAUAAAUCAGCUUACCAGUGUUUGGUGGGUAUCAUGGGUGUGAUAACUAUCUACGCUUGUGGUUUUUCCACCAGGUAACCUUCAGCAGUGGAGGUUCGCUGGAGCUCAUAGACGUCUCUCCUCAGUGAGGACAGCCCUUUGAACGUUUGAUCUCAAAUCAGGAAGGACUACCCGCUGAACUUAAGCAUAUCAAUAAGCGGAGGA